GAUGAACGCUGGCGGCGUGCCUAAUACAUGCAAGUCGAGCGAACGGACGAGAAGCUUGCUUCUCUGAUGUUAGCGGCGGACGGGUGAGUAACACGCGGAUAACCUACCUAUAAGACUGGGAUAACUUCGGGAAACCGGAGCUAAUACCGGAUAAUAUUUUGAACCGCAUGGUUCAAAAGUGAAAGACGGUCUUGCUGUCACUUAUAGAUGGAUCCGCGCUGCAUUAGCUAGUUGGUAAGGUAACGGCUUACCAAGGCAACGAUGCAUAGCCGACCUGAGAGGGUGAUCGGCCACACUGGAACUGAGACACGGUCCAGACUCCUACGGGAGGCAGCAGUAGGGAAUCUUCCGCAAUGGGCGAAAGCCUGACGGAGCAACGCCGCGUGAGUGAUGAAGGUCUUCGGAUCGUAAAACUCUGUUAUUAGGGAAGAACAUAUGUGUAAGUAACUGUGCACAUCUUGACGGUACCUAAUCAGAAAGCCACGGCUAACUACGUGCCAGCAGCCGCGGUAAUACGUAGGUGGCAAGCGUUAUCCGGAAUUAUUGGGCGUAAAGCGCGCGUAGGCGGUUUUUUAAGUCUGAUGUGAAAGCCCACGGCUCAACCGUGGAGGGUCAUUGGAAACUGGAAAACUUGAGUGCAGAAGAGGAAAGUGGAAUUCCAUGUGUAGCGGUGAAAUGCGCAGAGAUAUGGAGGAACACCAGUGGCGAAGGCGACUUUCUGGUCUGUAACUGACGCUGAUGUGCGAAAGCGUGGGGAUCAAACAGGAUUAGAUACCCUGGUAGUCCACGCCGUAAACGAUGAGUGCUAAGUGUUAGGGGGUUUCCGCCCCUUAGUGCUGCAGCUAACGCAUUAAGCACUCCGCCUGGGGAGUACGACCGCAAGGUUGAAACUCAAAGGAAUUGACGGGGACCCGCACAAGCGGUGGAGCAUGUGGUUUAAUUCGAAGCAACGCGAAGAACCUUACCAAAUCUUGACAUCCUUUGACAACUCUAGAGAUAGAGCUUUCCCCUUCGGGGGACAAAGUGACAGGUGGUGCAUGGUUGUCGUCAGCUCGUGUCGUGAGAUGUUGGGUUAAGUCCCGCAACGAGCGCAACCCUUAAGCUUAGUUGCCAUCAUUAAGUUGGGCACUCUAAGUUGACUGCCGGUGACAAACCGGAGGAAGGUGGGGAUGACGUCAAAUCAUCAUGCCCCUUAUGAUUUGGGCUACACACGUGCUACAAUGGACAAUACAAAGGGCAGCGAAACCGUGAGGUCAAGCAAAUCCCAUAAAGUUGUUCUCAGUUCGGAUUGUAGUCUGCAACUCGACUACAUGAAGCUGGAAUCGCUAGUAAUCGUAGAUCAGCAUGCUACGGUGAAUACGUUCCCGGGUCU
rnacentral:rRNA from 1 species